rnacentral:misc_RNA from 1 species
UCCCCGUUACCGGGGCAGUCUGAAUAGAAAAAUUCAACUAUUCAUAAGGGUUGCGCUCGUUAAUGGACUUAACCAAACAUCUCACGACACGAGCUGACGACGGCCAUGCAGCACCUGUCACCUUGUUCAAUAAAGUACUCUCAUCUUUCGACAAAAUUCAAGGGAUGUCAAGUCCUGGUAAGGUUCUUCGCUUAUCCUCGAAUUAAAGAACAUGCUCCACCGCUUGUGCGGCUCCCCGUCAAUUCCUUUAUGUUUUAGUCUUGCGACCGUACUCCACAGGCGGGAUACUUAACGCGUUAGCUUCGCUACUGAAGGGGUCGAUACCUCCAACAGCUAGUAUCCAUCGUUUACGGCGUGGACUAC